UACGUAGGUGGCAAGCGUUGUCCGGAUUUACUGGGCGUAAAGAGCGCGCAGGCGGUCGUUCAAGUCGCGUGUGAAAGCCCCCGGCUCAACUGGGGAGGGUCACGCGAUACUGAUCGACUCGAAGGCAGGGGAGGGUAGUGGAAUUCCCGGUGUAGUGGUGAAAUGCGUAGAUAUCGGGAGGAACACCAGUGGCGAAGGCGGGUCCUCUGGACAGUUCCUGACGCUGGAGGCACGAAGGCCAGGGGAGCAAACGGG
rnacentral:rRNA from 1 species